rfam:Triticum aestivum genome assembly, contig: Triticum_aestivum_CS42_TGACv1_scaffold_330103_4BS
AUUCUACUCCCUCCGUUGCACAAUACAUGCCUUCUAUUUGUCAAAAUAUAUAUGUAUCUAGACAUGUUUUAGUAUAUAGGUACAUCCAUUCUUUGACAAAUGGAAGUCAAGUAUUUUGGAACGGAGGGAGUACACA